CUUGCUCUAACCUCUGCCCAGGCCUGAAGGAGGCACCUGACUUCCUGUGGGUGGUCAUAGCUGCUUUGCUGCUUUUGAGCCCACAGGAAAGUCAACAGGUCUGGGCUACACCCCUGUAAGGACCAGUCGUGUCAGACUGGCUGCAGGUUCACCUGGGCUCAGGAGCGCAGGUUUGUGACUGACAAGGAAGACGUGGAGAGCACAAACUGCCACCACUCUGCAUGACUCCGCACCCAACUCCGCACCGGUGCGUGAGGCUGGACGAGGGCAUGGGUGGUGGACCCAGACCGUGAGUGGACCAGGUGAGUCUGUGCAUCGUUUCCCCCAGCCCCGGGAGGCUGCUUGGACCGUUUGUGACCAGGAGAGGCCGCGCAUCUCGCGCUUGGCCAGGGGGACCCGGAAGCUCAUGAUGCACCUCAGCACCCACCUCAGGACAACGUGAAGCCUCCAACCCCACUGCUUGCCCAGGGCAGAGGCCAAGGGAGCACCAGGGCUGGCCGCUGAAGGGUGAUGCACCACAAGAGGCUCACUGAAGAUUCGCUAAAUGACUACUCCUCUGCAGCACGGGUCCAUCAUCCCUCUGACCUUCUGCUAAGUGGCCACUCCUCUGCAGCACGGGUCCAUCAUCCCCCUGACCUUCUGCUGACUGACCACUCCUCUGUAGCACAGGUCCAUCAUCCCCCUGACCCUCUGCUGACUGACCACUCCUCUGCAGCACAGGUCCAUCAUCCCCCUGACCUUCUGCUGACUGACCACUCCUCUGCAGCACGGGUCCAUCAUCCCCCUGACCUUCUGCUGACUGACCACUCCUCUGCAGCAUGGAUCCAUCGUCCCCCUGACCUUCUGCUGACUGACCACUCUGCAGCAUGGAUCCAUCGUCCCCCUGACCUUCUGCUGACUGACCACUCCUCUGCAGCACGAGUCCAUCAUCCCCCCAAUCUUCUAAAGGAAGACAGAGGGUCUUCUGAAGGCCAGAGUAAUGCCUUCUCAGCACACAAGUAUGUUUGUGGGGAAAAAAUCCCGACUCUGUACUUUCCACACAGAAAUGAACAUGAAUAAUAAAUCACGUCAAAGACAACCAA